rnacentral:misc_RNA from 1 species
AUUGCAGUUUAGCUGCCGUGAAAGUCAACUGCAAAUUUAGCAGCUGAUUUGGAUUUUUGGAAUUCAACCAUGGAUGCUACAAUAAAUUGCUUACAGUAACGAAACAUUGACAUUCCAAGCAACUUCCAUCAAUGCAUUAGACUCAUCAUUCUAUAUUUCAACCAUAAAGAAAGAAUCCAAGUCACAUGCAAGAGUGUUAAAUAAAAGUACUUGCUCACCUUCCUUCACAUGGGAACCCUGGGCUAUCAGACUUCCUUUGCACUCAAAUGUAAACCCUGAAAUGAAGCUAAGUCACACAUUAAUAUUAAAUGGUGUUACGAUGUGUCUAAUUUAUGCCACUUUCCUGAUUCCAUGCAUGCUUCUGUUUGUUCUCUCCCAAUAUGAUUCUUCUUCACAUAUUCACCAUUUAUUCUCUGCAACUCUG